AAACAUUCAGACCACAGCAGAAGGUUGCCCUAAAUUCUGGAGUCGGGGAGGGGGGAAGUAUCGCAAGAAAACAGGAACACUGAAAGACAUGGGCUCCUUCUCAGAUCUUAGAGAACAAAAGAAAGAACUAAAUGGAGAUGUGGGAAUCACAAGGCCAUAGUUUAGGGUCUCGCAGUGCCAUUGGCAACAAAGCCUGAGAGCCUAGGCGAUAGAGGCAGAACACCCAGAGGAGAAGCCCCUUCCCCUUGCACCGUGAGCCUGGUGUUUGCAGCUUGGUAGCAGUGGCAACAGAACAAUCAGCUCUCCUACAAUAAACCAGGGACGGAACAAACAACAGCAGCAGCGGUCGCAGGGAAACAGAAUCUGUGUUGGCGUGCAGGGAGCAGGCAGCGUCUGCAAAGUAGCGCUGGCAACCACAACAGAGAGGCCAGCAACAGGAGGAGCAGGAGGAGCCCAAUGAAGCGUGCUGUGGAGGACAAAGAGCAGCAGAGGCAGGAAGCAGUGACAAGGAGUGAGCUGGGAAAUUCCAGCUGCCCUCCUGUCCUACUUACAAGGAAUAGCCUGGAACAAGUACAGUUGACUCUGAACAAGUCAGGUUUGAACUGCAUGGGUCCACUCAUAUGAAGAUUUCUUUCAACGAAAGCUACCCCGAGUGUGCCUGCCUUUCCUGCCUCCCCUUCCACCUCCUGCACCUCUACCAUCCCUGCCACCCCUAAGACAGCAAGGCCAGUCUCUUCUCUCUCCCCCUCCUCCUUCAGCCUAUUCAACUUGAAGAUGACAAGGAUGAAGAGCUUUAUGAUGAUCUACUUCCCCUUAAUGAACAGUAAAUAUAUUUUUUCUUCCUUACAAUUUUCUUAAUAGCAUUUUCUUUUCUCUAGCUUACCUUAUUGUAAGAAUACAGUGUAUAAUACAUAAAACAUACAAAAUAUGUGUUAAUAAACUGUUUAUGUUAUUGGUAAAGCAUCUGGUCAACAGUAGGCUGUUAGGAAAGUGUGAGGGUAGUCAAAAGUUAAGCUCAGAUUUUUGACUACGCAAGGGUCGGCAUCCCUAAACCCCAAGUUGUUCAAGGUCAACUAUAAUUCCCUAUUACUCCUCACUCUUCCUCCCUCCUUCCUCCUCUUCUUCCUUAUCCCUUCUCCUUCAUUUUCCCCACAGGCUAACUGCAACUCAGCCCACUUCAUUUCCUAAUUUUUCCUCCUCCCUGCAUCCCCCCGAGUCUUUGUGAGAUGCUCUUCCCUUCACUCCUGCCAGCCCUAUGGCAUCAUGGCAUUAUCAUGGUGUAUGGAGAACUUCUGUCUUAUCUGUUUCUCCCACUAACCCAGUGGUUUUCAACUGGAGACAAUUUUGCUCCUCAGGGGACAUUUGGAAAAGUCUGGAGACAUUUUUAAUUGUCACUUCUGGGGAAGGGGGUUGAUACUGUCAUCUACUGAGUAGAAGCCAAGGAUGCUGCUAAACAUCCUACAGUGCACAGGACAGCCCCUCACAAAAAAGGAUUAUCAGGCCCCAAAGGCCAAUAGUGCUAAGGUUGAGAAACUGCACUAGGCUGAGUUCCUUUAAAAUAUGACCCUAUUCAGCGCUGUUCCAGCAGCUCCACAGACAGUGUCCAGUGCCCAGUAGGAAGGAAUCCAAACAGUUUUAAUAUUACAUUUGAAAUUUUAAUUGAAAAACUCUUCUGACAGCUGUAUGUUAUAACUAAUAAGCAAUAUGACCACAUACCACAAUUCAAAGGAAAACCAAUAUCCAGAGGUAAAGGUGGCUUACACCCAUCAGUCUUUGACACUUCCUCCUAUCUAGUUCUCUGUAUUUCUUCCCUUUCUCCUUUUCUCUUGUCCCUGUGCUCACUGUCCCCCUUUACUGUCAUGUUUGUUUGAAUUCCACUUCAAAAUGGGAAUUUGAACAGAGUGCAAUAAAUUGUCCCACAUUUGUUUAUUUUAGGAAAUCAUUGCAUUUAAUUUUAACAUUUAAACAUAUCAAUUAGGCCAGGUGCGGUGGCUCACGCCUGUAAUCCCAGCACUUUGGGAGGCUGAGGCGGGCGGAUCACGAGGUCAGGAAAUCGAGACCAUCCUGGCUAACACGGCGAAACCCCGUCUCUACUAAAAAUACAAAAAAUUAGCCGGGCGUGAUGGCGGGCGCCUGUAGUCCCAGCUACUUGGGGAGCCGAGAUCGCGCCACUGCACUCCAGCCUGGGAGACAGAGCAAGACUCCGUCUCAAAAAAAAAAAAACUUAUCAAUUACUGGGUGACAUGCUGUGCACUGCAAGAAAAACAAAGAUAAAUAGGAAACUGGGACUAUCCUAACUGGGGGAGAUUUCUGUAGCAGUAGAAAAGUAGAGGAAAUAUAGUUUUAUUUCACUAAUGUGAUUAGGGAAUAUCUCAUGGAGAAAGUCUUCGAUUUAGGUCUUCACACAUGUUUCAUAAAGAAUGUUAACACACCACACAUAGGUAAUAAUGUUGUCUUUCCUUACCUGGCAUCAUUAUGAGGGCCACUUUUUGGGGCAAUGAUUCCUAAAUUUCAGCAACUCCUGGAGGGCUUGUGAAAGAAAGCACAGAUUGCUGGGUUCUGCCCUCAUAGUUUCUGAGGCAGUAGGUCUUCGGUGAAAUCAGAAAACUGGUGUUUCUUUUUUCUUUUUUUUUUUGUGACGGAGUCUUGCUCUGUCACCCAGGCUGGAGCGCAAUGGCGUGAUUUCAGCUCACUGCAACCUCCGCCUUCCGGGUUCAAGCGAUUCUCCCGCCUCAGCCUCUGAGUAGAUGGGAAACAGUCGCGCGCCAUCAUGUUUUUGUAGAGGCGGGGUUUCACUCUAUUGGCCAGGCUGAUCUUGAACUCCUGACCUCAGGUGAUCCGCCCACCUCAACCUCCUGAAGUGCUGGGGUUAUAGGCGUGAGCCACGGCGCCUGUUUGUUUUUUUUUUUCUAAUCAGAGGUUUUGCUCUUGUCGCCCAGGCUGGAGUGCAAUGGUGUGAUCUUGUCUCACUGCAACUUCUGCCUCCCAGGUUCAAGUGAUUCUCCUGCCUCAGCCUCCCAAGUAACUGUGAUUUCAGGUGCCCGCCACUACACCCGGCUAAUUUUUGUAUUUUUAGUAGAGGCGGGGUUUUGCCAUGUUGGCCAGGCUGGUCUCAAAACUCCUGACCUCAGGAGUUCGGCCUCCGAAAGUGCUGGGAUUACAGGCAUGAGCCACUGUGCCCGGCCUAGAAAACUGGUGUUUCCAACAAGUCCUUUGGUGCUGCUGGUGCUACUGCGGGCCUUCUGAGGAGACUUUGAGAACCGCUGCAUCAGGAUUAUCAGCCUGGUAACUCCUGGCCGAAGAAAUGCACACCCUUCAUUUGGCUAAAAGAAAGAAUUUCCAAUAUUCAUAAAGAAAACACAACUUGUGGGUUCUCCAAGCAGGAGAGGAAAAAUCAUGUUCCAGUCUAUUCCUGUAACUAAUGAAGGGCUCAGGUUUCAAAGACCCUCUGUCCUUUGGCCUGUACUGGAGUCUGACUUGUCCAGCAGCACAUUGUCCUCGUGGUGAAUUCUCUUAUCAGGCCUAGUUUACAAAGAAAAGUGUAAGAGAACCUGCAAUGACUUUACCUGAGUUCUUAAGCAGACUACCAGGUUACCUACUUUAAGGAAAUAAGCCUGGCUCCUUUGGCCAUGGGGAUGGUUGGAACUCAGACCUGG
rnacentral:lncRNA from 1 species